AUUGAACGCUGGCGGCAGGCCUAACACAUGCAAGUCGAGCGAGCGGCGGACGCGUGAGUAAUGUAUGGGGACUGCCCGAUAGAGGGGGAUAACAACUGGAAACGGUGGCUAAUACCGCGUAUUGUCGGAUGACCCCUAGGGGGUUAGAUAGUGGGUAAGGUAAUGGCUUACCUAGGCGACGAUCCCUAGCUGGUCUGCGAGGAUGAUCAGCCACACUGGGACGGAGACACGGCCCAGACUCCUACGGAGGCCGCAGUGGGGAAUAUUGAACAAUGGGCGAAAGCCUGAUGCAGCCAUGCCGCGUGUAUGAAGAAGGCCCUAGGGUUGUAAAGUACUUUCAGUCGGGAGGCGUUACCGACAGAAGAAGCACCGGCUAACUCCGUGCCAGCAGCCGCGGUAAUAC
rnacentral:rRNA from 1 species